rnacentral:other from 1 species
CAACCUCUGGAAUGCGCGACCUGUUCCUGAUUGUGCUGACCAACUGAACGAUUUGUUGCCCGGAGUCGGGUAGUGGUGAGCAAGCCCGCCCUUGAGCGGGAAGCCUGAAGCACCCAUCCCGGGUACUAUGGAGAUUCACAGGUCCUCUCUAGGGAGUAUGCGCCGGCAUUCUGGAGGUUGC